rnacentral:misc_RNA from 1 species
AUACUUGAAUGCAAGGAAAUUUAUCGACAGACGGUUUUACCAAUUUUUUAUCAUGUAGAUCCAUCUGAUGUAGAAAGACAAAGUGGGAGCUUUGCAGAUGCAUUUAAUGAGCUUGAGAAUAAUUUUAAGGAGAAAAUAGAAAUGAUGCCCCGGUGGAGGGCUGACUUGAUGAAAGCUGCUACUAUAUCUGGAUGGGAUUCUCGGGUGAUAAGUGUAUGGGGCUGAUUUGGACAGCAUAAAAGAUUUGCAAUUUGCUGUUCACAUUGCAUUAACUAAUUAUUUUAUUAGGUCUAACAGAAAAAAAAAAAGGUUUCAGGACUUGAUGGAGAAAACAAAUAAGCAGUCAGGGCUUCAUUGAGAAAUAUGUAAAGUAUUAGGACUCUGAUGUAAUUAAUUCUUUUGUUGUAAAAUGAGUGCUUAGAAAGAAAAUGUUGAUGUAACAGAACCUUUCAUGAUCUUUUCAUUAUUUUUCUCUGUUUAUCUUCACUAUACUGUUUGUCUCGGUACUUUUUAUUGUAUUAGGUCCGAGGCUAAACUUGUGAAAGAAAUUGUGGAACAUGUUUUGAGGAAAUUGAAUCAUGUAUCCUUAGAAGUUGCAAAGGGCCUGAUUGGAAUAGACUCACACAUUGGACAUAUUAAGAAUUUAUUACACAUUGGAUUGCCGGAUGUUCGUAUUUUAGGAAUUUGGGGUAUGGGUGGCAUAGGCAAAACAACUAUUGCCAAAGCUAUUUUCAACACUUUCUCAUAUCAAUUUGAAGGUUGCAGCUUUAUUGAAAAUAUUAAGGAAGUAUCAGAACAAUUUGGUGGGGUAGUUCAUUUAAGAGAAAAGAUUUUUUCUGAAUUACUGGAGGAAGAACAUCUGCAUAAGGGAACGAACAUGAGAUCUGUUUCCAUUAAAGACAGGCUCCGGCGCAAAAAGGUUUUGCUUGUUCUUGAUGAUUUGAAUGAUGUAGAGCAACUGGAAUAUCUAAUAGAAAGGUGUGAUUUUGGUGUGGGAAGUAGGGUUAUUGUGACAUCUAGAGAUAGGGG